rnacentral:rRNA from 1 species
UACGUAGGCAGCAAGCGUUGUUCGGAGUUACUGGGCGUAAAGGGUGUGUAGGCGGUUAUUUAAGUUUGGUGUGAAAUCUCCCGGCUCAACCGGGAGGGUGCGCCGAAUACUGAAUGACUUGGAGUGCGGGAGAGGAAAGUGGAAUUCCUGGUGUAGCGGUGAAAUGCGUAGAUAUCUGGAGGAAUACCGGUGGCGAAGGCGGCAUCCUGGACCAUUACUGACGCUGAGGCGCGAAAGCUAGGGGAGCAAACGGG